rnacentral:rRNA from 1 species
UGAACGCUGGCGGCGUGCUUAAUACAUGCAAGUCGAACGAAGCGCUACAGCCGAUCCCUCGGGUGAAGCAGUUGUGACUUAGUGGCGGACGGGUGAGUAACGCGUGGGUAACCUGCCUAUGCAGGGGGAUAACAGUUAGAAAUGACUGCUAAUACCGCAUAAGCGCACAGCACCGCAUGAUGCAGUGUGAAAAAGAUUUAUCGGCAUAAGAUGGACCCGCGUCUGAUUAGGUAGUUGGUGAGGUAACGGCCCACCAAGCCUGCGAUCAGUAGCCGACUUGAGAGAGUGAUCGGCCACAUUGGGACUGAGACACGGCCCAGACUCCUACGGGAGGCAGCAGUAGGGAAUAUUGCACAAUGGGGGAAACCCUGAUGCAGCGACGCCCGCGUGAGUGAUUGAAGCAUUUCGGUGCGUAAAGCUCUAUCAGCAGGGAAGAUAAUGACGGUACCUGACUAAGAAGCCCCGGCUAACUACGUGCCAGCCGCAGC